AACGUCCCUGUACUUACCUUAAAUCGCUCUGGAUAAGAGCGUCUGCCAAAUUUAAAUGCUGUUUUAUGCAAUCUGGCCACCUGAGAAGAGCAAUUUAUUUUGAUAUAGCCUACAGUCGUUUGGCUACUUUUAGGCUAAUAGGCCGACUACAUAAAAUCCGUUACUACGCGACUGUAGCAGGCAAAAUUGAGGAAGAGAGACAACGUAAGCUAGUGUGCAGCGGCCAGCACACAUAUUUAUGGGUAAUAGAAAACACGCGUACAUUUAUUGAGCACAGAAUAGAUUUUUUGAGUACAGUAAUGUGUGUGAGGACAUGGACAACAGUGCCCCUUUGGAAUCUUAAAAUGUUGAAAACUUGGGAGGAUUUUGUCAACGAAAAUCUUUAACAUAAGAAUGACGGGUCUGCGGCAGGGUGAAUUCCCAGGCUUUCAAGGAGUGGAGUGGAGUCUAGUGGAGUGGAUUAACUUUGAAAUAGAAACAUCUCAGUGCGCCAGGAGGCACAGAUCUGUCUGCCUUGAGGAGUGAACUGAGGAGACAUAGUCAAUCUUAGGCACACAGACCAGCCAUGAAGAUGGAAAUUUGAAAGUUUGAGGCCCUGGGAAAGCAAUGAAGGUCUUGAGACAGUAAAACCUGAAAAAAAGGAAGCCAACUUUUGAACAGCUUACUACUUGGCCAGGAAAAUCAGGCCCUUUUCUGAUCACGAGCCAUCAUUUGUUUUACAUUUAUUCAUUUAGCAGAAUUUUACAAAUAAAAUCCUUCUAAACGUU